rnacentral:rRNA from 1 species
UACGUAGGUGGCAAGCGUUGUCCGGAAUUAUUGGGCGUAAAGCGCGCGCAGGCGGUUUCUUAAGUCUGAUGUGAAAGCCCACGGCUCAACCGUGGAGGGUCAUUGGAAACUGGGGAACUUGAGUACAGAAGAGGAGAGCGGAAUUCCACGUGUAGCGGUGAAAUGCGUAGAGAUGUGGAGGAACACCAGUGGCGAAGGCGGCUCUCUGGUCUGUAACUGACGCUGAGGCGCGAAAGCGUAGGUAGCGAACAGG